rnacentral:rRNA from 2 species
CGGCAACGGAUAUCUCGGCUCUCGCAUCGAUGAAGAACGUAGCGAAAUGCGAUACUUGGUGUGAAUUGCAGAAUCCCGUGAACCAUCGAGUCUUUGAACGCAAGUUGCGCCCGAAGCCGUCAGGCCGAGGGCACGCCUGCCUGGGCGUCACACGCCGUUGCCUCCCCC